CUUAUCUCUAGCAACCAACUUCAUUUGUAAGAUGUCAAUUACAGGACUGAUUUUUCUGGGAGACUUAGAAUCAUUAGAUAAUGACCAUGAGCCAAAGAUUCACUUUUGAGUUUGGUACGCACUGCUUGAAGGCUGGGUAUGACUAUAUGAUUGUUUUUUUUUUUUUUUCUCUCCCAGUUUGAACACAUUAAUUGGCAGAAGUUUCCCCUGUGAUCUUCCAGUACAACAUUCUUCCUGCAGCCACACCUGACCAGUGGGAGGACUGACUAAAUUCUUCAUCCUCUCCAUCCCAUGCCUUUACGUCUGCUGUGUCUCCCACGUGUUCGUGGAUCGUGCCUGAGGCUGGGACAGACAACUCACAACCAUGAAGAAAAGGCAAAGAGAAUCACAAAGAUGCCAGCCCAACGCUGGGAAGCUACUAGCCUACACCAAUGCUAACAACCAUCCAUUUAUGACUUCUUGUCAUGUGAGGAGAAUGAACCUUCUGUGUUUGGAAAAACGAAGGCUCAGAGACCCUGGAUCACCCAGUGAGUAAGCAGCAUGCCCAGGUCUAGCAUACCAUUCUCCUGCUUUCAGCUCUUGUAUGCUAUCCACAUGCUUACAGCAUGCUUGGACAAUGCAGAAACUCAGCUUUGGUACUUUGGGUAAUCUGUUCAUCUGUGAAAUGGGAUAACUCAUGCUGAUCUACGGACAAAAAUAACUGUAAGGAUGACAUGAAAUGAUGCAGAUAGCAGGCACUCAAAAAACAGAGCUCUAUCAACAUUCCUGCUUCCUCUCAAUGACUGGCACUGAACCGUCCUUAACACCCCAUUUCUAAGCCAAGAGAUUCUUCAAGACCAAGCCAAGUCUGCCGUGCCACUGUCCCCCGCAGGAGCCUCUGGCUUCAUCAAGCCCACAGAUCCACAGUUGCUUUGUUCGCCGAGUGACAUUUCUAUCAGGCACCACCUUGGGCUGGUCACAGAAACUUCGUAGGAGCCAUCAGUCCUGGAGCUCAGUACCCCAGGGUUGAUGCCUUGACAACUGUGUCACCACUCUCUUAUUACCUAUCUGGAGGGUCACCUUUCUGACAGACAGCUUUGAAAAUUCUUUAUUAAACUUUUUUUUUUUUUUAGUAGAAAAGACAGAUUAUAGUUCUGACAUGCUCUACUUAUUAUGACAUGAAACAAUGUUCUUAUUUCUUUUGCUUGGGGAUGUUGAACUGCUGGCUUUGGCCCAUGUGGGGUGUCACAAUGAUGUAUUAGUUAUUAGGUCAGACUUUCCGUAACCUUUACGUAUUCAUUUAUUCACUCACUCACUCACUUACUCACUCACUCACCUAUACAUUUGAAAGUCUACUGUGAACCGGGUCUAACAGAGGUUAGACAUUUAGUGGAUUACACAAAAAAAACAAAACAUUUACCCUCAGUCUUUGAUCUGAGGAUGUCCCAGUUUAAUAGGCAAUGCAAGGGGGCAAAAAAGAUAAAAUUUUACCGCCGUGGUAAGUGAAAUAAAAGACCUAUGUGUUGUACUUGGUAACAUAACUUUGGCAGGAUGGAAACCAGAAUUGGUAGUGUAUCUGUAGAGUGGGGUGCCUGGUUCACUCUGGAUGAUGACAGGUGGUACAGCAGCAGAGGCUGAAGACUAGAUUUUGUUGGAAUACUCUAUAAUCUGUGUAUAGGAGAAGGAAGAGGAGCUGAUCAUUCACAGUUGAAAUAAGCUGGUGACAGGUACUCCUCUCCAAAAGAAGGCCUGGGUGCCAGAUUUUGGGCUCAGAGUGACUUAAUAGUUCUGAUACACAUUUGAUAAAUAAUAUCACAAAGGCACCACUGAACAUCUGAAUAUAUGAACAGAGAGCUAUGAAAAAGGUAGUGACUAACCCUGCCAGGGGAGGUGUAGGAAGUGCCCCAGAAAAUAUGAUAUUUGAAGAGGGCAUUAAGCAUUCAGAGGGCAUUAAGCAUCCAUGAGAAGCGGAAGUAUGGCAUCUGAGCAGAGCAAAGGUGAAGGUGACAUGCUCUGAGAAGGAUGAGGAUUUCUUCAGAACAAAGUAUGAUUGGGGGCUGGGGUGGGAGGUGAAGCUCAGGGCACGUUGGGACCAUUUUAACACCAGGUCAUGGAGUCCAGGCUUUCUCUUCAGUAGGACUUGCUGGGCUGGUGGCUGGUUUAUGCAGAGGAGUGUUAUGAGAGACUGGAGUGCAGACAAAUCUCUCUGCGGGCGGUAUGGGUUUAUGGGAGGGUAGACUGAAAGCUCAGAGACACAAGGCAAAGAAACAGGUCAGGUGGCUACUACAACCACCCAAAAAGAGAAGCUGGGAGACCUUCCCUCAGGUUUCAAUCCAGCUAAGGCCAGUAAAACCCAUGUGUUCAUUUAGGAGACUCUUGUAUAUUUAUUAAAUAAAUAAACAAAAGAGAAAAGGCCAGGGAUCAAUGAGUUUCUUAAACAAAAAUUUAAAAGGCAAAACUAAGAUAUGUUAAAUAACACCUAGUAGAAUUUAAAGUGUACAUACUUUGUGGAAUAAAUGCAUAAAGACAUCAGAAAUAAUCAAGUAUGGAAUAAGGGUAUGGGUCUAGUGAAACAGGGCACUGAAAAAGCUGUAAACUUCCCAGGCAGAAACCUCUGCUCUCAUCCUGAGUCUGUUUUCAUUUAUGUAUCAUGUGAUAUCAUGUAUCAUGUGCAAUACAUGUGAUUAGUAAUUUGACUCACCCCCUCAGUAAAAGUCACAGUUCCUGUUUACCGAGCACCUGCUAGGCUUAAUCAUGCACAAUGCUCAGGAUACCACCUAUAUUAUCUCAGCCAAUCUGAACAACAAUGGCAAAGCAGGCUUUAUCAGGCCUGAGGUUCAGAGAGUUUAGGGAUUUACCCAAGGUUGCGGAGCAGUCAGCAGAAUUGAGAUUUGACCCUGAUCUAUCCAGCUGUGGAAAGAUUCUCUGCGACGGUACAUCCUCUGCGAUGGUGCGCCCUAGGCAGUAGAAACCACAGAAGAAAGCCAGAAAACCAGCCAGAUAGAUGGCUGCUGAAACAAUUCAAGAGAGACAUGAUGAUCUACUAUAAUGGCGGUGGAGAACAGAUAGAAGGCUGGUGAGCAGGUGCUCAGGGAGUCUGUCUUCUAUGGUUACAGAGAAUGCUCCUGCAAUGGUCCUGGAAACCACCCACAGCUAAACCCAGGUUACUGUGAAGAUGAAAGGAGAUGAUGUGUGUAACACUCACAGACUGGGACCCAGGAUGUAUGCAUCAGAUUUUAGGGAAACAUUGGUCUUCUUUCUCACCAUGGUUCAAGGUCUUGGGAUGCCUCCAAGACACGCUGACAAAAAGUCCCAUGAUUUUGUAGCUUAGUGUGUUGUGCCACAAAAAAGCCUUCAAAAUUAUUAAAAUAAGUUUUCCCAUAACAAAAUAAGGGAUCUACAACUAAAUAGAAGUAUUAAUGAUUAUUUAAUACUUCAGAAAGAAUGAAAGAGAGGAGAGAUUUUCUAUACUUGGGGUCUAUGAAAUUCCCUUCUAUCCAUUAAAAAAAUAAAGAACUUUUAAAACAAGGUUGAAUAUGUUCCUCUUCUUCAUAACCAAGGUUCUCUAAGACAGAAAUAUUAACAGCAGAAAAAAUAUUGUGUUGAGAUUAAAUUAAGAAAAAUAUACAUAUAUAUGUACUUUUUUCCCCAGUUCAAAGGACGAUAAAAAAUAAACUACAUAUAUAUACCCCACAUAGAUAUAUAAAUAGUUAGAUAAAUAUAGAGAUAUAGAUAAUCUACUUUCAUGAUUUAUAAUAAGGACACAGAAAAAGGCUGGGAUGGCAGUGGGGAAUGAGCAGAGUCUGAAUUUCUGUACUCCAGCAUAGCACUUACACUAUGAGAAACAGUAUUAGCUAGAGCUAUGUUAGUGCAAUUGUUAAAAGCUCUGUAUUUUACAUGAAAACUUGAGCCAUUGAAAAUAACAGAAUUAGCUAGAACUGGCAUCAAGCCUUAAUGCCAGAAUGUAACCAGUCCACAGAGGUAGGAAGAUGUUCUUAGGCAGGGACCCAAAAAGAGGACUGACACAUAAUAAAGGAUCAGGAUAAUACAAGGCUAAUAAAAAAGAGAAAAGGGACUGAUGCUUUGCUAUUUCUGAGUAAGGAAUUCUUCUAGAUUCUUAGUGAGAAGGAAUUAAGGUAAAGCCAAAGCGAUACGUAGUAUUUAUGCUUUGUUGUAUAUAUUAUGGUUUAUGCAGCUUUUAAAUAAACUAUAUGUAGUUCAUUCUGUCUACGAUGGUAGCAAUAAUAGCUAUUAUUUAUUGAUGUCUUAUUAUAUACUUGAUGUUCAGCGAGGUAUUACAUAUGUCCACAUCUCUUUGCUCACAUGACUCCAAGCUGGCAUAGGCCUCUUCCCUGCAUCCAUCCUUCCAAGAGCAGAAAGCGUAUACCUGCUGGUGUAUGCUCCUUCAUUUCAAGGAGUUGCAAAGGAGUCUUAUAUAUAAAAGUGUGGAUGGAGCUUGGACAUGUGGGUGGAGGUGUCCAUUGGCAUAUGAACUGAGGCCCUUUGUAGUAUGGAUGGGAAGAGACAGAAGGUGGGCUGGGGGCUGGUUCUCCUACACUGCCACAGUCCAUCAUUAAACUUUGAAGAGUCCAAUAAUUCUAAACUAGAACCAUACCAUCUGGGUUUUAAUGAAAUUUGUCAAAGGUGGUAAGGGAUAAAAAAGACUUUAUUUAACAGUUAGCUUGAUUUUUAUAACCAUGAAGUAUUUAGCCAUAGGACACACGGUCCUCUAUUUGUACCCUUUUUCGGGGACUAUAAAUUCAGAGGUAGGUUUAGCACCUAGCACAGUGUCUG
rnacentral:lncRNA from 10 species